UGUGUUAGGUCCUUGAAGUCUUGAAGAAGAUGUCGGAUCUAUUCCACAAUACUAUAAAAGGGUAUUCCAAAUGAGCACUGGGCCUAAUUUCUUGAAUUCAUGCUUACUGUACCUUAACAUGCAUUUCUUAUUAGAGCGUUUUAGGAAAACAAGCUUAAUAUCUCUUGAAAACUAGCUUGAGCAGAAGUCUUAGCAUUUCGCAGCUGAUAUCUUACUUCUGUAUUCAUAAAUCACCCUCAGAUAUCUCAUCGAAAGGCUUUAAGACCUUGUUUCUGUGUGUGAUCCAAAUUGAAACUAGUCAUGAUAAUAGAUACUUAGACUUGGGAGUUGGCACUGUCUUUUGUCAUAGGUCCUUAGAAAAUAAGGACAUUUUGAGCAGGAAACAGGACUCUGAAAGGUGAUAAAAAAGUACUUUUUGAAAAUUAGAAUUUGGUAUAACAAUUAGAAACUUAUUGAGCAAAAAGAAUUGAGUGGAAAAACUAUUGUAAAAAUUGAAAGAACCUUCGCACUGAAGGGUGUGGCCUAGUGGUCACUAAAGUAGGAUGAAGACCAUGGAAUAUCAAGGUUCAAAUCCCAGCAAAGACAAAACAGGAUAGGUGGUAUUUUUCCAUCUGCCUAAGCCUUGGUGGACAUAGUUUUUGGUACCUGAACUGGUGGAAGGUAGCAGGUACCUGAUGAAAUAAGUCAAGAUGGGGACAAGCUGGCCCGGAUACCUCCAUUAUCACAAAAAGGGCAAGUAAAAUGUGAAAGAAUCUUGCGUAAUAUAUUAUGUUACACUGCUUCCACGUCUUUUAGUCUCCAGUCUAGCCAACUUCCAACAAAUGAAUCCCUUUGUCAAAGUUUCCAGGUCCCAAAGUAUCACUUCUUUCUCUCCUCUGUCCUCUCCAAACCCUUCUUCAUGUAGUGCUUCUCUAUGCGAACUCUCUCUAGAACUUGUUUCAACCCAGCCUUCUCACGACUAUUUUCCUUUUUCUUAUCUUUCACUCCUCCAGAUGUUAUUCUUUUCAGAGAGUCUAGAUUCCUUGCCUCCCUUUUCUUCUGGAACAGACAGAGUCAACUUGAAUGAAUUUCACAAAAUAGAAAGGUUCUACUUUCAGAGCACAAAUCGGGGUUCAAAACAUUAUUUUCUAGGGCCACAGAAUUCCAUAUUUAAUGCUGGACUUAUACGUCCAGCUCUAGGAGAGCGUAGAAGAAAGUGGAAUGCAAUUGAAUAAGCCAACUGGCUGAUGAACUAACCAGCUUUUACUUAGCUUAAGCUUAGUUGGGCUUACUUUCGUCAGGUGUGAACUGAGACUAACCUGUGGCUUUUGGCCACAUUUAAAGUUUUUACCUAGCUGCUUAGAACUCUUGAGUCUAGAGAGAAUCAACCAUUCCUCAUCUGCACAUCAUAUAACCUGACUUAUCCCCCCCACCCCACCACCAGUGUUUUGGACGGCGCGCGGCGACAAAAGGCGACAAGGGCCUGCCUCGCCUUAAGGCGAGGCGCGCGGCGAGGUGCUCGCCUUUUUGAAGUGCGGCGCCAAUAAAUACCAAAAAGUUAAAAUAUUUAAUUGCAUAUGUAAAGAAUCAAAAUCUCACUAGCAAUAACAUAUUAGCAAAUAUUUCAAUUCAAAAAUUAAAAGUAGAUAGUAGAUACUAAAAGUCUAGAACUUGAAUGAGUCAACAAAAGUUUAUAACAAAAGUUAAACAAUUAUUGAACAGAAAAAACAGGAGCAAAACAGCCACUGCCUCACUGGUGCUGUUGAGAAAAAAAAAAUGGAGAAAAAAACAGAGGGGAAAAAAACAGAGGAGAAAAAACAGAAAAAGAAGAAGAGAAUAGAAGAAGGAAAAAAAAAAUGCAGAGGUGGCCGGAAAUAGAGCAGUCGUCGCUGGAAAAAAAGACGAAGAACAGAAGAAGAAGCAGAAGUCGAAAAUAGAGGAGGAAGAAAGAAGAAGAACCGAAGAAAAAGAAGAAGGAGAAAGACACGUACCUGAAAACCUUGAAGGAGAAGAGAGGAGGAGGCAAAAAAAACCCUAGCUGCUGUUUUUCUUUUGAAAAUAAGUUUCAUUUAAGCCCUCCACUUCUUUUAAUUGCUUUUUUUUUUUUUU